rnacentral:sRNA from 1 species
GGCUGGUGAAAGGGGGUGAGUUAUCUCAAUUGAUCGCUCACAGUCAGUUACUCCCGGCUGGGAGAAGGUGGUGAGUUGUCUCAAUUGAUCGUUCAGUUACUCCCUGUUCUACUCUUUCUCCCCUUCUCACUACUCUGCUUGACUAAUCUAAA